rnacentral:rRNA from 1 species
UACGUAGGGGGCAAGCGUUGUCCGGAUUUAUUGGGCGUAAAGAGCGUGUAGGCGGCUUGGUAGGUCCGCUGUGAAAACUCGAGGCUCAACCUCGAGAUGUCGGCGGAAACCACUUGGCUAGAGUCCGGAAGAGGAGAGUGGAAUUCCCGGUGUAGCGGUGAAAUGCGCAGAUAUCGGGAAGAACACCUAUGGCGAAGGCAGCUCUCUGGGACGGUACUGACGCUGAGACGCGAAAGCGUGGGGAGCGAAC